UCAGUUCGGAUUGCAGGCUGCAACUCGCCUGUAUGAAGUCGGAAUUGCUAGUAAUCGUGGAUCAGCAUGCCACGGUGAAUACGUUCCCGGGCCUUGUACACACCGCCCGUCACACCAUGAGAGCCGGGAACACCCGAAGUCCGUAGUCUAACCUAUAUGGAGGACGCGGCCGAAGGUGGGUUUGGUAAUUGGGGUGAAGUCGUAACAAGGUAGC
rnacentral:rRNA from 1 species